rnacentral:miRNA from 1 species
UAUUGGGUUGGCCAAAAUUUUCGCUUGGGUUUUUCUUUGAAAUCUUAUGGAAAAACCCAAGUGAACUUUUUGGCCAACUCAUU